UGUACCACCACACUAGGCUAAAUUUGUAAAAUUUUUGUAGAAAUGGGGUCUCGCUCUGUUGCCCACGCUGGUUCUGAACUCAUGGCCUCAAGUGAUCGUUCCACCAUGACCUCCCAAAGUGCUGGGAUUACAGACAGAGACACUCCAGCUCUGUUGUCCAGACCAAAGUGUAGUGGUGUGAUCAUGACUUACUGCAGCCCUGAUCUCCUGGGCUCAAGCAAUCCUCCUGCAAAAAUAUUUUGUAGGGAUGGGGGUGCCAGUAAAUUGCCCAGGCUGGUCUUGACCUCCUGGGUUCAGGUGAUCCUUCUGCCUCUGCCUCUGAAAGCACUGGUGUGAGCCACUGUGCCUGGCUCUUGGACUGUUUUAUUUGAGAAGCAGUUCUUGUUUUUUUCUACUAGAAACUAAAUUUCUGGCUAUGGCACCCUAGGUUUCAGAAGAUCUGUACUGCCCAUCAAGGACUGGGUGAUAUCUGAACCUAGGCCGUACACUGGGGUGGUUCAGUGGCCCUUUAACAUGAAAUUGGUGUAUUUUAGUUCCAAAAAACCAAAUCUAGUUGAGUAAGCAGGUAGUUCUCACUCCCAAGAUGCCAACUUUUGCUGCACAGCCACAUCUCCCCUAAACUCUUGCCUGUGAUUACAGAGGGAGUUUCCUUAGAAGAAAAAAAGCAGGAGCCUCGGCCAGGCACGGUGGCUCAUGCCUGUAAUCCCAGCCCUUUGGGAGACUGAGGUGGGUGGAUCACCUGAGGUCAGGAGUUCAAGACCAGCCUGACCAACAUAAAGAAACACCGUCUCUACUAAAAAUACAAAAUUAAAUUAGCCCGGUGUGGUGGCACAUGCCUGUAAUCCCAGCUACUCGGGAGGCUGAGGCAGGAGAAUUGCCUGAACCCAGGAGGCUGAGGUUGCGGUGAGCCAAGAUCGCACCCUUGCACUCCAGCCUGGGUAACAAGAGUGAAACUCCAUCUCAAAAAAAAAAAAGAAGAAGAAGGAGCCUCUUUCCUGGUGGCUAAACAUCAACCAGAACUGGACUCUGGCCCGGUUAUAGACCUCAGAGGUGGCCCUCCAGGACGGCUGGGAAGAGAAAACCUCCUGGUGAGCAAAACUUAGAGCAUUGUCCA
rnacentral:lncRNA from 13 species